rnacentral:rRNA from 1 species
GGACCCUACUGCUAUCGGGAUGGGAUUAAGACAUGCAUGUCGAGCGUCUCCUAGCUAUGGUGGAGACGCGGCGUACGGCUCAGUAACACGUGGCUAACCUACCCUUGAGACGGAGACAACCCCGGGAAACUGGGGCUAAUAACCGAUAGGUGAGGACGCCUGGAAUGGUCCCUCGCUCAAAAGAUGUGGGAGGCAUGCUCUUUCACAUCGCUCAAGGAUGGGGCCGCGGCUGAUCAGGUUGUUGGUGAGGUAACGGCUCACCAAGCCGAUAACCGGUACGGGCCGUGAAAGCGGGAGCCCGGAGAUGGGCACUGAGACAAGGGCCCAGGCCCUACGGGGCGCAGCAGUCGCGAAAACUCCGCAAUGCGCGAAAGCGUGACGGGGCCAACCCGAGUGCCGUCCGCUGAGGAUGGCUUUUCCCCGGUGUAAUGAGCCGGGGGAAUAAGGAGAGGGCAAGGCUGGUGCCAGCCGCCGCGGUAAAACCAGCUCUUCUAGUGGUAGGGACGAUUAUUAGGCCUAAAGCGUUCGUAGCCUGCUCAACAAGUCCCUCGUUAAAUCCAGCGUCUUAACCGUUGGGCUGCAGGGGAUACUGUUGGGCUAGGGAGCGGGAGAGGCCGACGGCACUCUCGGGUUAGGGUUGAAAUCCUGUAAUCCCGGUUGGACCACCAGUGGCGAAGGCUGUCGGCUAGAACGCGUCCGACUGUGAGGAACGAAAGCUGGGGGGAGCGAACCGGAUUAGAUACCUGGGUAGUCCCAGCUGUUAUCGAUGCGGGCUAUGUGGUUGGGAUGGCUACGAGCCAUCUCGGUGCCGCAGGGAAACCCAUAAGCCCGCCGCCUGGGGAGUACGGCCGCAAGGCUGAAACUUAA